GACGAACGCUGGCGGCGUGCCUAAUACAUGCAAGUCGAGCGGAACCAUUGGAGCUUGCUCCUUUGGUUUAGCGGCGGACGGGUGAGUAACACGUGGGCAACCUGCCCUGCAGAUCGGGAUAACUCCGGGAAACCGGUGCUAAUACCGAAUAGUUUGCGGCCUCUCAUGAGGCUGCACGGAAAGACGGUGUCGGCUGUCACUGCAGGAUGGGCCCGCGGCGCAUUAGCUAGUUGGUGAGGUAACGGCUCACCAAGGCCACGAUGCGUAGCCGACCUGAGAGGGUGAUCGGCCACACUGGGACUGAGACACGGCCCAGACUCCUACGGGAGGAAGCAGUAGGGAAUCUUCCGCAAUGGACGAAAGUCUGACGGAGCAACGCCGCGUGAGUGAAGAAGGUUUUCGGAUCGUAAAACUCUGUUGUGAGGGAAGAACAAGUACCAAGUAACUACUGGUACCUUGACGGUACCUAACCAGAAAGCCACGGCUAACUACGUG
rnacentral:rRNA from 1 species